GUAGCUUCAAAUCACCCCGUCUCUCUCUCUCUCUCUCUCUCUCUCUCUCUCUCUCUCUCUUAUCUGUCCGGUGAGAUCUGUGGAUCUCCGGUGACCCUGCAUUACCUACCGACCACUUGAACCGUCGUUGCAGGCUUUCUCGCAAUCCUUAACACUCCGGUUGUCACUCCCUUUCGUGCACCAGAGUCAAACAUAACAUCACCGCCGACCACCAGCAUCGUCACAACCGAGAACCCAAAUAAGGUUUGCAAAAUCGAUUACAAGUUACAAAUAAUGUCGAUAUUCGUAUGUUUGGAUCUGCCUACGAAUCCCAACCAUGAAGGUGUGUUUGUGCGAGAUCUUUUCUUCAAUAGGAUCAUAUGGCGAUUAUCUCUAUCUUUGUUAGAAUUGGUGGUCUCGGAAUUAUACAUUUGCAGGUGAUUGUGGAAACAAGUUCACACUUGCAGGUGAUUGAGCAUCCACAACAGGAUCAGUUUCAGAUGCAGGUGAUUGUGGAAAUAGAGGUUCUUCAUCUUGAACAAUCAUGUGUCCAAAUAAAGGAGCAUCGAGUCCAGUACCACGAAAUCUCAUCAUAUUUGCAAAAACCUUGGGCUUCAAAUGAGAUAAAUCUAAAGAACUUCCUUCAUGAACCAAGUUGGGAAAAUUCUGAUUGAAAAUGUGUUGCAGAAAUCGUGGAGACAAUAAAAACUUUGAUUCUGAUUGAAUAUGAUUGGAUAGUUCAUACACUACUAGAAAAUUGAAAAAAAUGGUAGUAAAUUUAGCCACCGAUUUGCCACGGAAAAGAAAAUUAGUGUAUUUAUCAUGAUAUGGUAGCAAAGCGGUUGCAAUUUUUGCCACCUUUUUAUUUUCGGUGGCAAUUUUUGGGAAAAAUACGCUAAAGCAUGAAAAAUAAAAAGGUAUUUGUUAAUUGUGACCAUGUUAUCGGUGACAACAUAAAAAUUCAAAUUGACGGAUUUUUUUAUAGAUCUGCACGCUUCAAAAGUCUAUUAAUUAGGGUUCCAGCCAAAUAACUCUCCUCCAAAAUUUUAAUCCCUGCUUCUCACCCGCUCCCCUGCGUCAAGCCAUUCAAAGAACCCUGCUUCCAUACAUUUGCUCUGAUCGAUUUGGCGGUCUUCCAUGGUAGAUUCGUAAACAUCUCCAUAUAUUCAAGUGCAGAGCUGCGCUAUGUUGUGCGAUAUGUACUAUGGCUUAUGAGACAAAUGAGGAAGGGGAUAAUCUCAAGGCAUCAGCAUAUUCCUCACUUGUAUGAAGCUCUAAUUUUUGUUUUUUACAUCUUUUUUGUGCUCUUGUUGUGAUAUUUUGUUGGAUUAGAAGAGAUUGCAGUAGCAGGCAAUGUAAAUAAAGUCUGACAACCGACAUAAAUAAAGUCUGACAACGAACCUUAUACUGGAGUAUUAUGAAUCUUUACUCCAGAAACUUGAAUAACAAAAUGAGAUGGAUAUUUCAUAUGCUGUGAACAAAUCUCCAAAGAAAAAUAAAAAAUUGAAAAAGAUGCAAGCCAAGCUGGAUAAAAGUCUCAAAGAAAAGGAGUUGGUGGAUGAUUUUAAUGAAAGUCUUUUGAGAAACAAGGAGAUAUGACAAAAGAUCAUUGUGAAAACUGAAGACAGGUGUGUUCCGAUUUAAGGUAAACUUGGUUAUCAAGGAGCUCGUUGAGGAAAAGGACGAAGAAGAAGAAAAGUUGAAUAGAAUUAUUGCGGGGCCGUCGACUGAAAAAGAAAAAAGAUAAGGUGGAUAAAGAUACUAUGCUCGAUAGGAUAUCACAAGUUGAAGCUACGUUAACAGCUAUUGUUCUAAGAUAUGUUAUAAACACUUAGUUUUGAAUG